AGGCAGCCGGCCGGCCAGCCGCGGCGCAUUCGUAAACAAACCCUGGUUCAGUUCGGACGCUGCGAACACCCGAAGACCCCCUUCACCCUUCACCAUCAGUGUAACACACUUCGGCUUCUUACUUCGUCGAGACCGCCGGCACAGGAAAAUGUAGGCGAGCGGGCACCAGGUGCGGAGCGCGACAGUUUACCUGCACCCUACGGGGUCGGUGCUUGAACAAUCCGUACGCGACGAUAACAGCCGUGAUUAGAAUUGAAAUUCCUUCACGCUUUGAACAAAUAUGAGGAGAGAACAUCGAGAUAUAGUUUAGAGCAGACUCGUAGUGUUUGAUCCAAAACCGUCGACACCAUCUGCCUCCUCUAGUACUGCACACUGAGGCGCAGCAUUGGGAACGUCGGAAUUGAAAAACAAAAGUCAAAUAUGUAACGUAAGCCGCACCAGCUAUAUCAAAGGCGAGAGAGGG